rnacentral:rRNA from 1 species
CCUACGGGGGGCAGCAGUGGGGAAUAUUGCACAAUGGGCGCAAGCCUGAUGCAGCCAUGCCGCGUGUGUGAAGAAGGCCUUCGGGUUGUAAAGCACUUUCAGCGGGGAGGAAGGCGUUAAGGUUAAUAGCCUUGGCGAUUGACGUUACCCGCAGAAGAAGCACCGGCUAACUCCGUGCCAGCAGCCGCGGUAAUACGGAGGGUGCAAGCGUUAAUCGGAAUUACUGGGCGUAAAGCGCACGCAGGCGGUCUGUCAAGUCGGAUGUGAAAUCCCCGGGCUCAACCUGGGAACUGCAUUCGAAACUGGCAGGCUAGAGUCUUGUAGAGGGGGGUAGAAUUCCAGGUGUAGCGGUGAAAUGCGUAGAGAUCUGGAGGAAUACCGGUGGCGAAGGCGGCCCCCUGGACAAAGACUGACGCUCGGGUGCGAAAGCGUGGGGAGCAAACAGGAUUAGAUACCCGGGUAGUC